rnacentral:rRNA from 1 species
UACAGAGGUCCCGAGCGUUGUUCGGAUUUACUGGGCGUAAAGCGCACGUAGGCGGAUCGUUAAGUCGGGGGUGAAAUCCUGGAGCUCAACUCCAGAACUGCCUUUGAUACUGAAGAUCUUGAGUUCGGGAGAGGUGAGUGGAACUGCGAGUGUAGAGGUGAAAUUCGUAGAUAUUCGCAAGAACACCAGUGGCGAAGGCGGCUCACUGGCCCGAUACUGACGCUGAGGCACGAAAGCGUGGGGGAGCAAACAGG